GGAGGAGAGCGCGCAUCGGGCUCAUAACCCGAAGGUCGGUGGUUCGAAUCCACCCCCCGCUACCA
rnacentral:tRNA from 1 species